GGACAAAGUCUGAUGAUGAACCACAAAAAGUGAAGAGGCUAGAGACUCGUCUACAUAGAAUGCUUCAGACUUGGUUCAAUAAAUGCAAACAUAAGGUGGACUGUGCAGUGAAAAGGACCCUAAAAGAUGGCCAUGUUGUGGUAAACAUUAAACCAGCUCCAGGUGUAAACUCCUACAUAAUCAUCUGAUUACUCUCUUAUCUUUAUAACUUCUCCAAAAAAAGCAUUUAUUUCUAAUAAAUUCUGUAUAAUUAUAUUGAUUUUUUUUUAAUCCAUUUUGUCUCUGUCUUUUAAGCCCUGACUGAGCUUCAGAAACUGAAUAAAGAAACACUAACUGAGAGGGAUGGAGAUUUAGUCACCAUAAUAUCCAUCAGUCUCACACUGCCAUCUCCAGAGCUUGAUACACAAAUACCAGAGGAUGCUUCAAUGAACCCUUCUGCAUCUGUGCCAGAUCCACAAACUGAUCAGGUUCAACUGGGAAAGCAAAGUAAAGCAGUUUCAGCAGGUGGAGAACAGACAGGUGCUUCAGAGGAUGCUUUGACAAACCAUCGUACAUUUGUGCCGGCUCCACAAACUGUAUGCACUGUGUAGUAAAUCAUUAAAAAUACACACAC